rfam:Triticum aestivum genome assembly, contig: Triticum_aestivum_CS42_TGACv1_scaffold_434273_5DL
CUAGUACUCCCUCCGUCGGAAAUACUUGUCGAAAAAUGGAUGAAUCUAGACGUAUUUUAAUUAUAGAUACAUCCAAUUUUAUCCAUUUUUCCGACAAAUAUUUCGGAACGGAGGGAGUAGUUG